UCCUGGUUUCCCAGGCAGUCCCACCAGAGUGCUUCACUUGCGUGAAUUGCAACUGGCGGCAAGGGUUGCGCUCGUUAAAGGACUUAACCCAACAUCUCACGACACGAGCUGACGACAGCCAUGCAGCACCUGUGCAUGUGUCUAGACCGAAGCCUAAAAGACCAUAUUUCUACAGCUGUCACAUACAUGUCAAGCCUAGGUAAGGUUCCUCGCGUAGUAUCGAAUUAAACCACAUGUUCCACCGCUUGUGCGGACCCCCGUCAAUUCCUUUGAGUUUUAGUCUUGCGACCGUACUCCCCAGGCGGAUCACUUAACGCGUUAGCUACGACACUAAUCUCGCAGAGCGAAAUUAACGUCUAGUGAUCAUCGUUUACGGCGUGGACUAC
rnacentral:misc_RNA from 1 species